rnacentral:rRNA from 1 species
GACGAACGCUGGCGGCGUGCCUAAUACAUGCAAGUCGAGCGCGGGAAGCAGGCAGACCUCCUUCGGGAGAGACGCUUGUGGAACGAGCGGCGGACGGGUGAGUAACACGUAGGCAACCUA